rnacentral:tRNA from 1 species
GCCAGUGUGCUGUAGUGGUUUGACUUUUGGACUAUGAUUCUGGAGAUCAGGGCUCAAAUCCCUGCUUGGCG